rnacentral:tRNA from 1 species
GCCGAAGUAGCUCAGUGGUAGAGCACUUCCUUGGUAAGGAAGGGGUCAUGAGUUCAACUCUCAUCUUUGGCU